UACGAGGGGUGCAAGCGUUGCUCGGAAUUAUUGGGCGUAAAGGGUAGGUAGGUGGUCUCAUUUGUCUGGGGUGAAAGCCUUGAGCUUAACUCAAGAAGUGCCCCGGAAACGGUGAGACUGGAGUCCUGGAGAGGGUCGUGGAAUUCCCGGUGUAGCGGUGAAAUGCGUAGAGAUCCGGAGGAACACCAAAGGCGAAGGCAGUGUCCUGGGGAGUACCUGACGCUCAGGUGCGAAAGCCAGGGGAGCGAACGGG
rnacentral:rRNA from 1 species